GUUAUAUGGUCAAGCGAAUAAGCGCACACGGUGGAUGCCUUGGCGGUCAGAGGCGAUGAAGGACGUGGCAGCCUGCGAAAAGUAUCGGGGAGCUGGCAACAAGCUUUGAUCCGGUAAUGUCCGAAUGGGGAAACCCACCCGCUUGCGGGUAUCCUGCAGUGAAUACAUAGCUGCUGGAAGCGAACCUGGUGAACUGAAAUAUCUAAGUAACCAGAGGAAAAGAAAUCAACCGAGAUUCCGUAAGUAGCGACGAGCGAACGCGGACUAGCCCUUAAGCUGAUUUGGUUCUAGGAAAAUGCUCUGGAAAGAGCAGCCAUAGAAGGUGAUAGCCCUGUAUCUGAAAGGGCCAUUUCAGUGAAGACGAGUAGGGCGGGGCACGUGAAACCCUGUCUGAACAUGGGGGACCAUCCUCCAAGGCUAAAUACUACUGACCGACCGAUAGUGAACCAGUACCGUGAGGGAAAGGCGAAAAGAACCCCGGAGAGGGGAGUGAAAUAGAACCUGAAACCGUGUGCGUACAAGCAGUAGGAGCUCCGCAAGGAGUGACUGCGUACCUUUUGUAUAAUGGGUCAGCGACUUACUGUUCGUGGCAAGCUUAACCGUAUAGGGGAGGCGAAGGGAAACCGAGUCUGAUAAGGGCGCAUAGUCGCGGGCAGUAGACCCGAAACCGGGUGAUCUAGUCAUGCCCAGGGUGAAGGUGCGGUAACACGCACUGGAGGCCCGAACCCACUCCCGUUGCAAAGGUAGGGGAUGAGGUGUGAUUAGGAGUGAAAAGCUAAUCGAACCCGGAGAUAGCUGGUUCUCCUCGAAAGCUAUUUAGGUAGCGCCUCAUAUGUAUCCUCUCGGGGGUAGAGCACUGUUAUGGCUAGGGGGUCAUCGCGACUUACCAAACCAUUGCAAACUCCGAAUACCGAGACGGACUGUAUGGGAGACACACGGCGGGUGCUAACGUCCGUCGUGAAAAGGGAAACAACCCAGACCCACAGCUAAGGUCCCAAAUUCACUGCUAAGUGGAAAACCAUGUGGAAAGGCACAGACAGCCAGGAGGUUGGCUUAGAAGCAGCCACCCUUUAAAGAAAGCGUAAUAGCUCACUGGUCGAGUCGGUCUGCGGGGAAGAUUUAACGGGGCUAAGCAGUGAACCGAAGCUUGGGGUGCAUAACUUUGUUAUGCGCGGUAGAGGAGCGUUCCGUAAGCCGUUGAAGGUGGAUUGAGAAGUCUGCUGGAGGUAUCGGAAGUGCGAAUGCUGACAUGAGUAACGAUAAUGCGGGUGAAAAACCCGCACGCCGAAAGCCCAAGGUUUCCUUGCGCAACGUUAAUCGGCGCAGGGUGAGUCGGCCCCUAAGGCGAGGACGAAAGUCGUAGUCGAUGGGAAGCAGGUUAAUAUUCCUGCACCUCGCGUAAGUGCGAUGGAGGGACGGAGAAGGUUAGGUGUACCAGGCGUUGGUUGUCCUGGGGAAAGGCGGUAGGUUUGGAUCUUUGGCAAAUCCGGGAUCCUUUAAGACCGAGCACCGAGACGAGCCUUUAUGGCGAAGUCACUGAUACCACGCUUCCAGGAAAAGCUCCUAAGCUUCAGCUUACGCAGACCGUACCGUAAACCGACACAGGUGGGUAGGAUGAGAAUUCUCAGGCGCUUGAGAGAACUCGGGUGAAGGAACUAGGCAACAUGGCACCGUAACUUCGGGAGAAGGUGCACCCUUUUUGGUGGCUCGUGCGAGCUAUAGCUGAAGAGGGUCGCAGUAACCAGGCCGCUGCGACUGUUUAUCAAAAACACAGCACUCUGCAAACACGAAAGUGGACGUAUAGGGUGUGACGCCUGCCCGGUGCUGGAAGGUUAAUUGAUGGGGUCAGCCGCAAGGCGAAGCUCUUGAUCGAAGCCCCAGUAAACGGCGGCCGUAACUAUAACGGUCCUAAGGUAGCGAAAUUCCUUGUCGGGUAAGUUCCGACCUGCACGAAUGGCGUAACGACAGCGGCGCUGUCUCCACCCGAGACUCAGUGAAAUUGAAAUCGCUGUGAAGAUGCAGCGUUCCCGUGGCAAGACGGAAAGACCCCGUGAACCUUUACUAUAGCUUUACACUGAACGUUGAGUUCGUCUGUGUAGGAUAGGUGGGAGGCUAUGAAACUGUGGCGCUAGCUGCAGCGGAGCCAUCCUUGAAAUACCACCCUGUCGUGCUUGACGUUCUAACCUGGGCCCAUUAUCUGGGUCGGGGACCGUGUAUGGUGGGUAGUUUGACUGGGGCGGUCUCCUCCUAAAGAGUAACGGAGGAGCUCGAAGGUACGCUCAGCGCGGUCGGACAUCGCGCACUGUGUGCAAAGGCAUAAGCGUGCUUGACUGCAAGAUCGACGGAUCAAGCAGGUAGGAAACUAGGACUUAGUGAUCCGGUGGUUCUGUAUGGAAGGGCCAUCGCUCAACGGAUAAAAGGUACUCCGGGGAUAACAGGCUGAUACCGCCCAAGAGUUCAUAUCGACGGCGGUGUUUGGCACCUCGAUGUCGGCUCAUCACAUCCUGGGGCUGUAGUCGGUCCCAAGGGUAUGGCUGUUCGCCAUUUAAAGUGGUACGCGAGCUGGGUUCAGAACGUCGUGAGACAGUUCGGUCCCUAUCUGCCAUGGGCGUUGGAGAUUUGAGAGGGGCUGCUCCUAGUACGAGAGGACCGGAGUGGACGAACCUCUGGUGUUCCGGUUGUCACGCCAGUGGCAUUGCCGGGUAGCUAUGUUCGGAAGCGAUAACCGCUGAAAGCAUCUAAGCGGGAAGCGCGCCUCAAGAUGAGAUCUCCCGGGGCACAAGCCCCCUGAAGGAACCAUGUAGACUACGUGGUUGAUAGGUCAGGUGUGUAAGUACAGCAAUGUAUUGAGCUAACUGAUACUAAUGAUCCGUGCGGCUUGACCAUAUAACCU
rnacentral:rRNA from 1 species